UAGGGAAUCUUCCGCAAUGGGCGAAAGCCUGACGGAGCAACGCCGCGUGAGUGAUGAAGGUCUUCGGAUCGUAAAACUCUGUUAUUAGGGAAGAACAAAUGUGUAAGUAACUAUGCACGUCUUGACGGUACCUAAUCAGAAAGCCACGGCUAACUACGUGCCAGCAGCCGCGGUAAUACGUAGGUGGCAAGCGUUAUCCGGAAUUAUUGGGCGUAAAGCGCGCGGAGGCGGUUUUUUAAGUCUGAUGUGAAAGCCCACGGCUCAACCGUGGAGGGUCAUUGGAAACUGGAAAACUUGAGUGCAGAAGAGGAAAGUGGAAUUCCAUGUGUAGCGGUGAAAUGCGCAGAGAUAUGGAGGAACACCAGUGGCGAAGGCGACUUUCUGGUCUGUAACUGACGCUGAUGUGCGAAAGCGUGGGGAUCAAACAGG
rnacentral:rRNA from 1 species